AGGACGAACGCUGGCGGCGUGCUUAACACAUGCAAGUCGAGCGGUAAGGCCUUUCGGGGUACACGAGCGGCGAACGGGUGAGUAACACGUGGGUGAUCUGCCCUGCACUUCGGGAUAAGCCUGGGAAACUGGGUCUAAUACCGGAUAUGACCUCCUAUCGCGUGGUGGGUGGUGGAAAGAUUUAUCGGUGCAGGAUGGGCCCGCGGCCUAUCAGCUUGUUGGUGGGGUAAUGGCCUACCAAGGCGACGACGGGUAGCCGACCUGAGAGGGUGACCGGCCACACUGGGACUGAGACACGGCCCAGACUCCUACGGGAGCAGCAGUGGGGAAUAUUGGACAAUGGGCGGAAGCCUGAUCCAGCAACGCCGCGUGAGGGAUGACGGCCUGGUUGUAACUCUUCUA
rnacentral:rRNA from 1 species